rnacentral:rRNA from 1 species
UACGUAGGGACCAAGCGUUGUUCGGAUUUACUGGGCGUAAAGGGCGCGUAGGCGGCGCGGUAAGUCACUUGUGAAAUCUCUGAGCUUAACUCAGAACGGCCAAGUGAUACUGCAGUGCUAGAGUGUGGAAGGGGCAAUCGGAAUUCUUGGUGUAGCGGUGAAAUGCGUAGAUAUCAAGGGGAACACCUGAGGUGAAGACGGGUUGCUGGGCCAACACUGACGCUGAGGCGCGAAAGCCAGGGGAGCAAACAGG